AUUGAACGCUGGCGGAAUGCUUUACACAUGCAAGUCGAACGGCAGCACGGGGGCAACCCUGGUGGCGAGUGGCGAACGGGUGAGUAAUACAUCGGAACGUGCCCGGUCGUGGGGGAUAACGUAGCGAAAGUUACGCUAAUACCGCAUACGAUCUGAGGAUGAAAGCGGGGGACCUUCGGGCCUCGCGCGAUCGGAGCGGCCGAUGUCAGAUUAGGUAGUUGGUGGGGUAAAGGCCUACCAAGCCGACGAUCUGUAGCUGGUCUGAGGGGACGACCAGCCACACUGGGACUGAGACACGGCCCAGACUCCUACGGGAGGCAGCAGUGGGGAAUUUUGGACAAUGGGCGCAAGCCUGAUCCAGCCAUUCCGCGUGCAGGACGAAGGCCUUCGGGUUGUAAACUGCUUUUGUAUGGAACGAAAAGGCUCUGGCUAAUACCUGGGGCUCAUGACAGUACCGUAAGAAUAAGCACCGGCUAACUACGUG
rnacentral:rRNA from 1 species